UGGCGGCAUGCUUUACACAUGCAAGUCGAACGGUAACAGGCCGCAAGGUGCUGACGAGUGGCGAACGGGUGAGUAAUGUAUCGGAACGUGCCCAGUCGUGGGGGGAUAACGCAGCGAAAGCUGUGCUAAUACCGCAUACGAUCUAUGGAUGAAAGCGGGGGACCGUAAGGCCUCGCGCGAUUGGAGCGGCCGAUAUCAGAUUAGGUAGUUGGUGGGGUAAAGGCUCACCAAGCCAACGAUCUGUAGCUGGUCUGAGAGGACGACCAGCCACACUGGGACUGAGACACGGCCCAGACUCCUACGGGAGGCAGCAGUGGGGAAUUUUGGACAAUGGGGGCAACCCUGAUCCAGCCAUGCCGCGUGCAGGAUGAAGGCCUUCGGGUUGUAAACUGCUUUUGUACGGAACGAAAAGACUCUGGUUAAUACCUGGGGUCCAUGACGGUACCGUAAGAAUAAGCACCGGCUAACUACGUGCCAGCAGCCGCGGUAAUACGUAGGGUGCAAGCGUUAAUCGGAAUUACUGGGC
rnacentral:rRNA from 1 species